UUUCAUGGAACAUGCCGUCGUCCUCAUGUCCCUUCAUCAACGGAGAUAACAUGGUCAUUCUUGAUCAUGUUGCCUGCCUGAGCUGGCUAACGCCGCUUGGCGGCCUUGUUGGCCAGCCUGGCGCGACGUGGGCCGGUAGCUCAGGUGGUUAGAGCGCACGCCUGAUAAGCGUGAGGUCGCAAGUUCAACUCUUGCUCGGCCCACCAUGUCGCAGGCACAGGACGAAUUAGCGCAGCUAAUUUGCCCAGUGCCAAGACCGGCCUAGCGGGGCGAUGCCAGGCCAUAAGGCGUGGCUUUGCCACGACUGACGGGCUGGCGAGCAGGACCAAGCGAUUUUUGGGGCCUUAGCUCAGCUGGGAGAGCACCUGCUUUGCAAGCAGGGGGUCAUCGGU
rnacentral:tRNA from 1 species